rnacentral:rRNA from 1 species
UGCGAAUGGCUCAUUAAAACAGUUAUAGUUUAUUUGAUAGUCGAUUUUUACUACAUGGAUAACCGUGGUAAUUCUAUGGCUAAUACAUGCGCAAAUACUGUAUAAUCAUAUUUAUUAUGAUUGUACAGUAGUGUUUAUUAGAUACAGAACCAACAGUGCGCCAUCACUUUCUAGUGGUGGUGUCAAAAGAGAAGGUGAUUCAUAGUAACCGAACGGAUCGCAUCAUAUUAUAAUCAUUUCGGUGAUUGGCGAUAGAUCAUUCAAGUUUCUGACCUAUCAGCUUUCGACGGUAGUGUAUUGGACUACCGUGGCAGUGACGGGUAACGGGGAAUUAGGGUUCGAUUCCGGAGAGGGAGCCUGAGAAACGGCUACCACAUCUAAGGAAGGCAGCAGGCGCGCAAAUUACCCAAUCCUGACUCAGGGAGGUAGUGACAAGAAAUAACAACACUGGAAAUUGUAUUUCUAGUGAUUGGAAUGAUGGGAAUCCAAACCCCUUUCAGAGUAACAAUUGGAGGGCAAGUCUGGUGCCAGCAGCCGCGGUAAUUCCAGCUCCAAUAGCGUAUAUUAAAGUUGUUGCAGUUAAAAAGCUCGUAGUUGGAUAUCUGCUGGAAGCAAUCAGUCCGCCCUUUUCGUAAGGGUGUGCACUUGAUGAAUUCUGGCAUGAUUUCAUCCUAAUAAUAAUAUAUUAUUAUAUUAGGUUGAUUCCUAGUAUAAUAAUAUUUAUUAUUAUGGGGAUGACAGUUACUUUGAGAAAAUUAGAGUGUUUGAAGCAGGCUUUUGUUGCCUUGAAUACUGCAGCAUGGAAUAACAAUAUAGGAUUUCGGUUCUAUUAUUUUGUUGGUUUUUUCUGUAGGACUGAAAUAAUGAUUAAUAGGGACAGUUGGGGGCAUUCGUAUUUAACUGUCAGAGG